rnacentral:rRNA from 1 species
AUUGAACGCUGGCGGCAGGCCUAACACAUGCAAGUCGAGCGGAUGAAGGGAGCUUGCUCCUGGAUUCAGCGGCGGACGGGUGAGUAAUGCCUAGGAAUCUGCCUUGUAGUGGGGGAUAACGUCCGGAAACGGGCGCUAAUACCGCAUACGUCCUGAGGGAGAAAGUGGGGGAUCUUCGGACCUCACGCUAUCAGAUGAGCCUAGGUCGGAUUAGCUAGUUGGUGGGGUAAAGGCCUACCAAGGCGACGAUCCGUAACUGGUCUGAGAGGAUGAUCAGUCACACUGGAACUGAGACACGGUCCAGACUCCUACGGGAGGCAGCAGUGGGGAAUAUUGGACAAUGGGCGAAAGCCUGAUCCAGCAAUGCCGCGUGUGUGAAGAAGGUCUUCGGAUUGUAAAGCACUUUAAGUUGGGAGGAAGGACAGUAAGUUAAUACCUUGCUGUUUUGACGUUACCAACAGAAUAAGCACCGGCUAACUUCGUG